rnacentral:lncRNA from 1 species
CUUGCAUUGAAAGUUACCAUUUAUUUCACCACAGCCUGCUGGUAUGAAGGCGGGAACAUUUGACCCUUAUCCUUCCCAUUCCGCCGACCCUUACAAGAUCAAAGUGUCACACUCUGUCAAUGUUGUCAACAAAACUGGAAAGACCUUUAUGCCAUCACAGGGACCUAAAUCUGUACCUACUAAUUCUAUAGUCAACCAGAAUAUACUGAAAACAAUCAAUGUACAGAACUACAGAUCAAUGACAUCCAUCAUUUAAGGAAAUUUAACCAGAUAAAAUAAAAGACCAAAAUCUCAACUUAAAGAACUAUGGAUCACAACUUUAAUCACCUUAAAGAAAAGAUGAAGGUGACUGCCCAAACAUCUACUACCUUGUCAGUUGUGGCAGGAUACACAUCUCUGAACAGACAUUGCAAUGUUCUUGAAGAAUGUUGUUCUAUUAUAAUGCCUUAUGUAAUGGGUUAACUGAGCAGGUGUGUAUUACUACUUACAGGUUACUGUUUUGAAAACUCUUGUACAUAAUAUACUGUUAUACAGAAAAACAUUGAAUCGUUUUGUACUUACCUUACAACUAUAUUGAAGUAUUAUAUAUUUAAUACAUUGUGUUGCUCAUUCAAAGUUUAUGUCAAAUAUCUGUUCUUUCAUUCCAUUUUUUUCCUGUGAAAACACUUUUCUUUUGUAUGGAAGCAGAGGGCUGUGAUUUCCUAAAUAUACAUUUGAUGUUAAUGUUAUUUUAUGUAAUUGUGAUCCAGAUUAUACAUUAUUUCAAUACAAAUUAUUUCAAGAGUAUUUUAUCUUAACUUUACAAAGAACCAUCAUUUAUUUAAUUGUAUUUGACCUAUGGAAUUUUAAGAAUCCUGUGGUUUAUGAUAUAUUUUAAUAGUAGCUUCUCUUGAGUGUCGUGCACCCAAUUUGUAUAAUUAUUAUUCACACGAGGCCAACUUUUGCCUUUCCCCUGCUCUUACCUUUACACAUUAAGCCAAGCUUGUGCCAAGUUUAUGGAAUGUACAAAAAACCUCAAAUAUACAACCUAAAAACAAUUGAAAUCUUUAUUUUGAAAUAAAGUAUGUAAUAUCAAAUGAAAUAAAAAAUAUUGAUCACUGAAAUUAUCAAUAACUUUUAAUUCUUUAUUUUUAAAUUCCAUAUUAAUCUGCCAGCAUUCCCUAUCUUCCAGUGCAGUGUACCUCUGAAAGCCUUAUCAGGCUAAAGUAACUCUGUGGUUAACUUUUUCUUCAUAAUUGUAUUAUGAGGAUGACAUUUCCACAAAGAUUUAUUUUUUGGCUAAAAUAUCUAUGAAGUGUUCUUAAAAAAUCCUACAACAAGACACUGGUUUUCUUUAAAACAACUAGUAUUAUAAAAAUGUGAACAAAUUUAAGUUGUCUUUGUCUACUUUUUUUUGUGUUUCCUGCAAGGCAGAUGUGACAUAAAGACAUAGCUGUGGUGGCAGCAGUGGUGUCCACACAAAUGUUGUCUAUCUGAUUACUCUUGAAGGAAUGUUUUGAUUUUCAUUAAACUUUCCACACAUACCUAGGUAGUAUCGCUUUCACUUCUAAAGUAUGAUUUUGACCCACAUCUGAGAAUCAACAAGACAAUAUAAGACUAUAUUGCUAUAAGACACUAGAUUGGUACAUGAUAAAACUUACUAAACCAUUCCAAGCCAAGCGUUACAAUUUGACUUUUGACUUCAAGGGUUCUGAGCUUCUGGACAGGUAUUACAGAUUUGAUCCCUUAUGGCAUUGGCCUGAAGUUUAAACACCUGGGAAUUCUAUGUGACUCGCUGUUCAUCAGGCUAUGAUACAUUUAUCUAUGAAGUUUAACAUAUUAACAUUUGCAAGUUAUGGUCCUUGCGAAUGUUACAUUUAUUUGACCUUCUGACCUUGAUGGUUCAUAAUUAGAAUUUUACAUGACAAAUGUCCUUUUUAAGUACAUCCAUAUUUGAUGAUUUUUAAGAAAAUAUUCAGCUGUUCAGAUAUUAUGGUCUGGACUAGCAGUCAACAAACAUCAGCAGAUUACUUUCUUUGCAGCACUGUAUGUAGAUAUUGUUCCCACGUCCACAAUCCUCCCGGAUCAACACAUAUAUUGUCAUUAAAUAGACAAGACUUGAACUUGCAUGUUUUACUUUUAUUGUUGAUGAUAUAACAUAUCUAGCAGCCAUUGUUGACUGUACAUUUAAAGAACAUGAAGACUCAUGCAUUGUCAUGACAACACGAUAAUGGAGAGAAACGCCAGUCAAUAUCUGUUUAUAAACUUACAGAAAUGGAAAGAAAUUAAAACUAGUUCACAUGUAAUAACACAAAAUGAUUAGCACAUGUACAUUUCAAAAUCUAUUUAUUUGAUUUUGAUGAAUAUUGACAACUGCUUCAUCACUGUGACAGGUUUUUUUGUAUUGCAUUGUGUGAAUACGUACACAAGUUAUCAAAGCUGAUGUAUGG